UCGGUACGUGUAAUUGCUGAAGGGAACGCUUGAAGUCAGUCGCGUUGUCCGGAACUCAGCCUUGCUUUUGCUUGGUGCACUUUCCGGAUGACGGGUCAGCAUCGAUUUUGACCGUCGGAAAAGGGCUGGAGUAAUGUGGCACCUCCGGGUGUGUUAUAGACUCUGGUCGCAUACGGCGGUUGGGAUCGAGGAACGCAGCGCGCCGCAAGGCAGGGGUUCGCCCACUUUCGCGCUUAGGAUGCUGGCAUAAUGGCUUUAAACGACCCGUCUUGAAACACGGACCAAGGAGUCUAACAUACCUGCGAGUGUUUGGGUGGAAAACCCGAGCGCGUAAUGAAAGUGAAAGUUGAGAUCCCUGUCGUGGGGAACAUCCACCCCCCGACCCAAACUUCUCUGACCGAUCCCCGGUAAAACAUGGAUGGUGGGACCCCAAAGAAGGGGAACUAUGGCUGAAUAAGGUGAAACCCGAAGAAACUCUGGGGGAAGGUCCUAACGAUUCUGAACUGGCAAUCCAUCCUCCAAUUUGGGUAUUAGGGCCAAAGAAUAAUCCAACCCUCUAAUAACUGGGUCCUGGCCAAAUUUCCCCCAAGAUAA
rnacentral:rRNA from 1 species